rnacentral:lncRNA from 1 species
CAGGAAUUUGGGUUCUAAUGGUCUCAAUGAAAUCAAAGCUGAAACAUUCCAAAACCUGUCCAGUUUAACAUAUCUGGAUUUGAGUAAUAAUGGUCUCGAUGAAAUCAAAGCAGAAACCUUCCAAUAUUUGUCCAGCUUAACAACUCUGGAUUUGCAGAAAAACAAUAUCAAAAAUAUCACAGAAGGAGCCUUCCAAUAUUUGUCCAGUUUAACAAGUCUGAAUUUGUAUGGUAAUAAUAUCAAAGUAGUCAAACCAGCAGACUUCCAAAGUUUGUCCAAGUUAACAAGACUG